rnacentral:rRNA from 1 species
CCCUUAGAUGUUCUGGGCUGCACGCGUGCUACACUGAUAUUGCCAAUAUGUCAUUCUUAUCCGAAAUGGAUUGGGUAAUCAAGUAAUGAAAUUUCAUGCUUGGAAUCGGUAAUUGCAAUUUUAUCGUGAACGAGGAAUUCCUAGUAAGCACUAGUCAUCAGCUAAUGUUGAUUAUGUCCCUGCCCUUUGUACACACCGCCCGUCGCUACUACUGAUUGGGUGUUCAAGUGAGAUGCUUAGACCCUUGUUGCAUGGUUCAUUAUUGUGCUCCGAAAGGAAAAAGUUUCAAGCUUGAGUGUCUAGAGGGAGUAAAAGUCGUAACA